CCCCAACCCACCCCACUUCUUCCUCCCCUACCACCGCACUCUCAUCCAUUUGCAACCGCAACAGGGCAGUCUUCCAGACCUGCCAAUUCCCCAUUCCUCUCCUUCCUUAGCGACCCCGGCCGAUUUCGCGGGUUGCGGAGCGAUUCCACGCGAGCGGAGCCUUUUCUGCGGUGAUUGUAAGGCGGAGGAGUGGGGGCGCUGGUGAUGAUUUCGCAGGCGCGGCAACGAAUACAUGCGGAGGACGGAAUGAGGCAAGGGGGGCGCCGCUUCUGCAUGCGCAACAGUCGAGAGCUCGGCGAACAGGAGGUGGAGGUACGAGUAGGCGAUGCGUGAGCUGUGUCGAGGUUCGUGCUGCCGUCAAAGAGCUCGUGCAAUCGCCCGCAAAUUUCCGGUAAGCAACUCGUUCUCGAUUCAGCAGUUUUUUCGCAGUAAAUCAGCCGGUUUUCACUGCAGGAGGGUGACCGACGGGGAUGCGUGUGCGAGAUGAGGUGUCGUGUCCGCGCAAGGGGCUGGUUAUAGGAGCGUUAGAUGCAUGAAUAAUUGGGGUUUGUGGUUCGUGAGAUGCACAACGAGGGGCGAGAGAGAGAGAGAGAGAGAGAGAGAGAGAGAGAGAGAGAGGGAUGGAGGGAGAGAGAGAGAGAGAGAGAGUAAACUAUUCUAACUUUAGUUUAGAGGGGAGUAGCAGAGGAUGUAGAUGUAGCAGAUGUUGCCCGUUUUCUGUAAUGAGAUCUGCUAGGCUACCCGUAUGAGAUUUGCUUGAUCCAUCUGCUAGUACCGAGGGGGAAGUAAUUGCAUCCUAUGAGUAACAUGAGAUAGUUUUGAGAUAUCUUGUCAGAUUUUCUGUAGUGAUAUACGGAGUAUAUGACAUUGAUAUCCUUGAUAUAAUUACCCGACUAGCAUCUGCUACUUUUCCUUGGGAACUUUUGCCUAAUAGUUGUUUUCUUACUUGCCUGCUAUUUGUCAGGGGUUUUGCCUAAUAGCUGUUUGUCUACAUGCCUGUGUAUUUUGUCAAGAUUUUUAUCAAUCCAUUAUUGGCACUGUUUUUGCCAACUGCAAUUAGUUUUCUGAAUAGGUGUCCAUUGAUUUCAGUUUUCUCAAUAGGGAUAUCCAUUAGUUACACAUCAUAAAAAACUGGAUAAAAUCCUUAACUUCUUCCAUCAUACCUUGUACUGGGCAGUAGAUAAAAUAGUACAUCUUGAUUUUUUUAGAUCAGAGCACAACUUGCCGGCAACCUCUAAUGCAUUUGCCCACGGGACACAGCACAACUUGAUUUUUUAGGACAUUUUCUUUUCAACGAACCAAAUAGAGGUCCACACAAGUUAAAAUAGAGUUCCUCACAAUAUAGAUUCACGUUUUUUUCCAGAAUAUUUUUCUUCCGCAAGCAAGCUAAUGAGUGGCUGCAGAAUCUAUGGGAAUUGCAUACAAACCCAGUACGAGUUGCUAAAUUUUAAUCCUUUUUCUAAACAAAACCUUGAGUUGCCUGUAUAUACUAUGCAAUUUGCUUAGAUUAGAGCACUACUUGCUUACAACCACUAAUGCACAUUUCCUAGGGGACACACCACAACUUCAUGUUCACACAAUAUAGGUCCACAUUGUGGACGAUGAAAAGUGUUCGAUCCACAAUGCGCGCGACGGGAGGGGGGACGCCGAGGUGGAAUUUUUGCAGGCAACAUGCUGGGAGGCGGUUGUUGGAUGGGGGGACGAGAGGGCUAGGGCGGAUAGGAAUGGCACUUCUGUUAAGCAAGCAAAAGUAAGAAGUCGUGGCCUGUACUCUAGACCGAGAAAGUGUGCAGACAAAAAACAUGCUUUCUUCUAGUCAAUCUAUAAUAUUUGUGCGCAUUGGGUUCUAGCCAAAAAAUAUGCUUUCUUCUAGAGCCAAGGGGGCAGUGCCAUCUGUGCGGCACGACCACCUAGUGGGGUGGAGCUAGAUCCGGGAAAGCAUUGUCUCAAGUGGUCGAGGAACUAGGCCGCAAAUCGUUGUAAGUAUCUCAAAAUCGACCCCCUAAGCAUGUGUUUCUCUACUCACAUCUACAAUUCUAUGUGAUAGAGGCGGAAUAGGGAGGUUGAAGAGGGGUGUGGGGGUCCCAUGUUUAUGGGCGAAUCGAUGAUUUUGAGCGCGGCGGUGGUUUGCGACUUGGGGAUGUGGGGGGCUGGAAUCGGGUAUGAUUUCAGCAGAAAGUUUUCAAAACUUGCCCAACGCAUGACAGUUAGUUGCUAGAGAUGCCUGUGUAAGUCGCCCAAAGAUCCGGUCCCGAGAUGGGGGGCUGGAAUCGUCGAUGAUUCGAGCCGAAAGUAUCCAAAACUUGCCCAACUCAUGAUAGGUAGUUGCUAGAGAUGCUAGCGUAAGUUGCCUAAGAUCCGCCCCCAAUAUGUUGGGGCUGGAAUCGUCUAUGACUUGAGCCGAAAGUGUCCAAAACUUGCCCAACGCAUGAUAGCUAGUUGCUAGAGAUGCCUGCAUAAGUUGCCAAAGAUCCGCUCCCGAGAGGCGGGCUCUGAAAUCGUCUAUGAUUUGAGCCAAAAGUGUCGAAAACUUGUCCAAGACAUGAUAGUUAGUUGCUAGAGAUGUUGGCAUGAGUUGCCCAAAGAUCCACUGCCGAGAUGCGGGGGCUGGAAUCGUCAAUGUUUUGAGCCAGAAGUGUCCAAACUUUCCCAACACAUGAUAGUUAGUUGCUAGAGAUGCUGGCAUGAGUUGCCCAAAGAUGAGAACAUUGGGUUUUAUUUUCGCUCAAAAUUUGCCCGAUGUAUGAUAGUUGGUUGCUAGAGAGGUUGGCGCGAGUUUCCCAAAGAUUUUUUUAGCAAAAAAAGAUUUUAUUUUGCACAAAAGUUGUGUUUUCCAAUCGGAUAAGUUGUCUACAUGUAAAUAGUUCUUGCCUAAAUCAUUUAAGUUUUGUAAAUAUGGUUUUGUAGACUUUUUUGCCUAAACAGAUUGUUUGUUCCGUUUGGAGGGCCUCACUGAAUUAUAAAGUCAAAGCAACAUUUUUUGAGGUUUUGUGCACAAGCCCAAGCAAGAAGGUUCAACAUCCACUUCCUGAUGUAGUAAAAUCAAUACUGGCUGCUCAUGCCAGAAGAAACAAGGGGAAAACACUAAAAAAAUAGUUGCAAUCAGGAUGAACAAGGCAUUUGUAAAAGGGAAGCAUCUGAGAGGGCACAACAAGAUGGAAGCUCACCUCUCAGGUCCAUGGCCACCAAAACGGGGGCAACAGUUGUGGCAAUGGAAGAGAGGAACAGAUGGAGAAGGGGAGGUCAAGGGGGGAGGUUUGGGGGUUACGACUAGGAAAGGGAAGGACGAUUUGGUGCGUCAGCAUGAGCCAAGGCAGGCUAAUGUCAUAGGAGGAGCAGUAGUUAAUAUUGUGACAGACUCGCCCCUGGGGCCAUGUGCAGUAGUUAAUGUCAUAGGGGGCCGUUUCUUUCCUUUUUGGGUUUGCCAGCUGGAUCCGGAAAGAGGUCCACUACUAAUUCUAGGGUGUGUGCUGUGGACCGCUAGCCAGCCAACGGUUGCUGGCUAGCCGCGUCCUAGUAUAUGGUACAGUACGUACAUGGAACAUGCGGAGGUACGGGUGGGUGCGUGUGGCCUGCGCCGGCUCCGGCUGCCACCAGCGGGCCCGCGCAUAGUUGCAGGGCCGCCAGCCACGGCCGGUCAAUCAUCGGCAGCUGCACACGCAUCUUGUGACUCCGGAUCCAUGGGUCAUCGACGCACUCAUGCAUGUAGAGGUGA